rnacentral:rRNA from 1 species
CAGCAGCCACGGUAAUACGGAGGGGGCUAGCGUUGUUCGGAAUUACUGGGCGUAAAGCGCACGUAGGCGGCUUGGUAAGUUAGAGGUGAAAGCCCAGGGCUCAACCCUGGAAUUGCCUUUAAGACUGCCGAGCUAGUAGGUGAGAGAGGUAAGUGGAAUUCCGAGUGUAGAGGUGAAAUUCGUAGAUAUUCGGAAGAACACCAGUGGCGAAGGCGGCUUACUGGCUCAUUCUAGACGCUGAGGUGCGAAAGCGUGGGGAGCAAACAGGAUUAGAUACCCCGGUAGUCCCUGUCUCUUAUAC